rnacentral:rRNA from 1 species
GAUGAACGCUAGCGGCAGGCCUAACACAUGCAAGUCGAGGGAGAAGCCCUUUCGGGGGCAGAAACCGGCGCACGGGUGCGUCACGCGUAUGCAACCUACCUUUCACAGGGGGAUAGCCCGAAGAAAUUUGGAUUAAUACCCCAUAAUAUUAUUGGAUGGCAUCAUUUGAUAAUUAAAACUGCGGUGGUGAAAGAUGGGCAUGCGUCCCAUUAGCUAGUUGGAGUGGUAACGGCACCCCAAGGCUACGAUAGGUAGGGGUCCUGAGAGGGAGAUCCCCCACACUGGUACUGAGACAGGGACCAGACUCCUACGGGAGGCAGCAGUGAGGAAUAUUGGUCAAUGGUCGGAAGACUGAACCAGCCAUGCCGCGUGCAGGAAGAAUGCCUUAUGGGUGGUAAACUGCUUUUAUAUGGGAAGAAUAAGGCGUACGUGUACGUUGAUGACGGUACCAGAUGAAUAAGCAUCGGCUAACUCCGUG